rnacentral:rRNA from 1 species
UACAGAGGUCCCAAGCGUUGUUCGGAUUCACUGGGCGUAAAGGGUGCGUAGGCGGUCAUUUAAGUCUGACGUGAAAUCUCCGGGCCUAACCCGGAAACUGCGUUGGAAACUAUUUGACUCGAGGAAUGGAGGGGAGACUGGAAUACUUGGUGUAGCAGUGAAAUGCGUAGAUAUCAAGUGGAACACCAGUGGCGAAGGCGAGUCUCUGGACAUUUCCUGACGCUGAGGCACGAAAGCCAGGGGAGCAAACGGG